GGGGUUCCACGCGUUCCCAUACCGAACACGACCGUUAAGACCUCCAGCGCCGAUGGUACUUGGACCGCAGGGUCCUGGGAGAGUAGGAC
rnacentral:rRNA from 1 species